rnacentral:tRNA from 3 species
GCCGGAGUGGCGGAAUUGGCAGACGCGCACGACUCAAAAUCGUGUUCCGUAAGGAGUGUGGGUUCAAUUCCCACCUUCGGCACCU